UCCUGGCUCAGGAUGAACGCUAGCGGCAGGCUUAACACAUGCAAGUCGAGGGGUAUAUUUCUUCGGAGAUAGAGACCGGCGCACGGGUGCGUAACGCGUAUGCAAUCUACCUUUUACAGAGGGAUAGCCCAGAGAAAUUUGGAUUAAUACCUCAUAGUAUAUAGCCCUGGCAUCAGGAUUAUAUUAAAGUCACAACGGUAAAAGAUGAGCAUGCGUCCCAUUAGCUAGUUGGUAAGGUAACGGCUUACCAAGGCUACGAUGGGUAGGGGUCCUGAGAGGGAGAUCCCCCACACUGGUACUGAGACACGGACCAGACUCCUACGGGAGGCAGCAGUGAGGAAUAUUGGACAAUGGGCGCAAGCCUGAUCCAGCCAUGCCGCGUGCAGGAUGACGGUCCUAUGGAUUGUAAACUGCUUUUAUACGAGAAGAAACACUGCUUCGUGAAGCAGCUUGACGGUAUCGUAAGAAUAAGGAUCGGCUAACUCCGUGCCAGCAGCCGCGGUAAUACGGAGGAUCCAAGCGUUAUCCGGAAUCAUUGGGUUUAAAGGGUUCGUAGGCGGUUUAAUAAGUCAGUGGUGAAAGCCCAUCGCUCAACGGUGGAACGGCCAUUGAUACUGUUAGACUUGAAUUAUUAGGAAGUAACUAGAAUAUGUAGUGUAGCGGUGAAAUGCUUAGAGAUUACAUGGAAUACCAAUUGCGAAGGCAGGUUACUACUAAUGGAUUGACGCUGAUGGACGAAAGCGUGGGUAGCGAACAGGAUUAGAUACCCUGGUAGUCCACGCCGUAAACGAUGGAUACUAGCUGUUGGAAGCAAUUUCAGUGGCUAAGCGAAAGUGAUAAGUAUCCCACCUGGGGAGUACGUUCGCAAGAAUGAAACUCAAAGGAAUUGACGGGGGCCCGCACAAGCGGUGGAGCAUGUGGUUUAAUUCGAUGAUACGCGAGGAACCUUACCAAGGCUUAAAUGUAGAUUGACCGGUUUGGAAACAGAUCUUUCGCAAGACAAUUUACAAGGUGCUGCAUGGUUGUCGUCAGCUCGUGCCGUGAGGUGUCAGGUUAAGUCCUAUAACGAGCGCAACCCCUGUUGUUAGUUGCCAGCGAGUCAUGUCGGGAACUCUAACAAGACUGCCAGUGCAAACUGUGAGGAAGGUGGGGAUGACGUCAAAUCAUCACGGCCCUUACGCCUUGGGCUACACACGUGCUACAAUGGCCGGUACAGAGAGCAGCCACUGGGCGACCAGGAGCGAAUCUACAAAACCGGUCACAGUUCGGAUCGGAGU
rnacentral:rRNA from 1 species